AUUGAACGCUGGCGGCAGGCUUAACACAUGCAAGUCGAGCGAGCGGCGGACGGGUGAGUAAUGUAUGGGGAUCUGCCUGAUGGCGGGGGAUAACUACUGGAAACGGUAGCUAAUACCGCAUACCCUCAGUUGAACCCAUAUGGGUUUAGCUAGUAGGUGAGGUAACGGCUUACCUAGGCGACUAUCCCUAGCUGGUCUGAGAGGAUGAUCAGCCACACUGGGACUGAGACACGGCCCAGACUCCUACGAGAGGCAGCAGUGGGGAAUAUUGCACAAUGGGCGCAAGCCUGAUACAGCCAUGCCGCGUGGAUGAAGAAGGCCUUCGGGUUGUAAAGUACUUUCAGUCGGGAGGCGUUACCGACAGAAGAAGCACCGGCUAACUCCGUGCCAGCAGCCGCGGUAAUUC
rnacentral:rRNA from 1 species